rnacentral:rRNA from 1 species
AUGAGGGAUAUUGCGCAAUGGGCGAAAGCCUGACGCAGCGACGCCGCGUGGGUGAGGAAGUCCUUCGGGAUGUAAAGCCCUUUUCUCGGGGACGAAACGGACGGUACCCGAGGAAUAAGCCCCGGCUAACUACGUGCCAGCAGCCGCGGUAAUACGUAGGGGGCAAGCGUUGUCCGGAUUUACUGGGCGUAAAGAGCGCGUAGGCGGAAGCGCCAGUCCGGCCUGAAAGCCCCCGGCUCAACCGGGGAGAGUGGCUGGAAACUGCGUUUCUUGAGGGCGAGAGGGGAGGGUGGAAUUCCUGGUGUAGCGGUGAAAUGCGUAGAGAUCAGGAGGAACACCCGGGGCGAAGGCGGCCCUCUGGCUCGACCCUGACGCUGAGGCGCGAAAGCGUGGGGAGCGAACGG